rnacentral:lncRNA from 1 species
UUCUGUUUUUAUAUCCCAUCUUUAAAAACUAUUGUUCAAUUCCUCUUCCUUAUCCAGUGAAUCUUAAAAGAAUUUUUAAAAAAUCAACAGUUCAUCAAACCAAUUAAUAUAUCAUUCAUGUCUGAUAACAUUCCACAUCUCUUAUCCCCUGGACCUCUCCAAUAAAAAUAAGGAGGGCUCAUUAUGGUACUUUGGAUCUAGCAGAGUCUCAUAUACCUUUAAAAAUGAUUGACAAAUGAAUAACAAAGGAUUUACUUAUCCUACCCUACAUUUUUGCAGUGAAAAAAUCCAAAGGAUUGAAAACUUUAUUAGUUCAGGUUUGUCUCCACUAUGCCAUGAUGUCUUUCCCGGGAUAUAGUAUUUGACCACAGUCUUUCCAAAAUGGGACUUGGAAAAUACACAGCAUGCCUUCAAUAACUAGAUCAUUGCAGAGACAUGUGACACAGAAUCACAUAGGACCCUGGAUCAAGAUUCCAAGCAAGGAGGUUGGGAGAAGUUUUUGUCCCAACUGCCAACAGUCAUUCUUUCUGGAGCAGAAGUAGGAGCAGGAAGUUUGGCUGGUAGCUGCAAUUUCAACCAUACAAAGACACAACUGACCCUGGAAGACAUCAGCUGUGGAGAGACAACUUCAGCAAGACUGCAGGUCAGCUGGACUGGAGAAUAUAAGGAAGAUUCAUCUACUUGGCUGAACUGAUAGGUUUUGAUCCUAUAAUCUCUGUAUUUAGAACUUAGUUAAAUAAGGUUUCAGUAAGAAGUAAUCCAGAUAGGGCAACAUUCUAAAACCUCUCUCAGAGUGCAGCUCCUUAAGUGGAGGGCCCAAUGGAAUUCUGAGGGCCUGGCCUGACUAGGGGAGCCAUUUUGAUUGUAUCGUGUGAUCACAGUGGCCAUCUUGGGUGGCCAUUUUGGAAAAAAAAUAAUUUUUUUGUAAAUUUUAAAAUCUGUUUGUAUUAUAUGUUAAUAGUACAUUGUAACACCAAUUAUACUGCUGUUUAUUUUUCAUUGUUAAUGGAUAUAAACAUGUCUGAGGACAUGUUAGGCUCAAGUGC